UCCAGACUCCUACGGGAGGCAGCAGUGAGGAAUAUUGGUCAAUGGACGAGAGUCUGAACCAGCCAAGUAGCGUGAAGGAUGACUGCCCUAUGGGUUGUAAACUUCUUUUAUAUGGGAAUAAAACAGGGUAUGCAUACCCUCUUGUAUGUACCAUAUGAAUAAGGAUCGGCUAACUCCGUGCCAGCAGCCGCGGUAAUACGGAGGAUCCGAGCGUUAUCCGGAUUUAUUGGGUUUAAAGGGUGCGCAGGCGGAGGUGCAAGUCAGCGGUCAAAUUGCGGGGCUCAACCCCGUACUGCCGUUGAAACUGCAUCCCUUGAGUGCGCGAGAAGUAUGCGGAAUGCGUGGUGUAGCGGUGAAAUGCAUAGAUAUCACGCAGAACUCCGAUUGCGAAGGCAGCAUACCGGCGCGCAACUGACGCUCAUGCACGAAAGCGUGGGUAUCGAACAGGAUUAGAUACCCCAGUA
rnacentral:rRNA from 1 species